rnacentral:rRNA from 1 species
AAAUUGAAGAGUUUGAUCAUGGCUCAGAUUGAACGCUGGCGGCAGGCCUAACACAUGCAAGUCGAACGGUAACAGGGAU